rnacentral:rRNA from 1 species
UGUGUAGGCGGUCUGCUAAGUCGGGUGUGAAAGCCCUGGGCUCAACCCAGGAAGUGCACUCGAAACUGGCAGGCUAGAGUACUGGAGAGGUUGGUGGAAUUCUCGGUGUAGAGGUGAAAUUCGUAGAUAUCGAGAGGAACACCGGUGGCGAAGGCGGCCAACUGGACAGAUACUGACGCUGAGACACGAAAGCGUGGGGAGCAAACA